AGAGUUUGAUCCUGGCUCAGAUGAACGCUGGCGGCAUGCUUUACACAUGCAAGUCGAACGGCAGCACAGGGAGCUUGCUCCCGGGUGGCGAGUGGCGCACGGGUGAGUAAUACAUCGGAACGUGUCCUGUUGUGGGGGAUAACUGCUCGAAAGGGUGGCUAAUACCGCAUGAGACCUGAGGGUGAAAGCGGGGGAUCGCAAGACCUCGCGCAAUUGGAGCGGCCGAUGCCCGAUUAGCUAGUUGGUGAGGUAAAGGCUCACCAAGGCGACGAUCGGUAGCUGGUCUGAGAGGACGACCAGCCACACUGGGACUGAGACACGGCCCAGACUCCUACGGGAGGCAGCAGUGGGGAAUUUUGGACAAUGGGGGCAACCCUGAUCCAGCCAUGCCGCGUGCAGGAUGAAGGCCUUCGGGUUGUAAACUGCUUUUGUCAGGGACGAAAAGGACCGUGUUAAUACCAUGGUCUGCUGACGGUACCUGAAGAAUAAGCACCGGCUAACUACGUGCCAGCAGCCGC
rnacentral:rRNA from 1 species